GGCGACGGGAACACAACAUGGCGGCCUGAGGGGCAGCGCCGGCGGCGGGGCCGGGGCGGGGGUGGCCGCUCGCCCGGCCGGCCCGGGACCUGCGGGACGGCGCGGGAUGCGCAAAGCCUUCAGUCUUAAAAUUUUUAACCUUUCUGCCCAUCUUCAUCUCUGAGUACCAUAAAUUCAGUGAUGGAAACGCUGGCUCUGUGAAUUUAUGGGCAUGGGUAUCUGUGAGCUGACAGAAGGAGGUGGUGACACAUGGUGGGGAGCUUGUUAAAUCACAGAAUAAAACAGGAAAAUGAACAACAGAUUCCUAUGGAGUACCCAAAAGUACCCAAAAAAGUAUUUUGAUAUUCUGAAGUAUGCAAGCAUUUAAUCUGUCUGAGGCAUAGUGCAUUUUUAAGACAUUAAUUUUGGAGCUUAAAAGUAAAUUUCCACAAUUUUCCCACAAUUUCCUAUGGGGUAGAAAUAGUUUUUUGUUUUCUCCCCAGACAGCUCUAGUUGUGGCUUGUUGCAAAGUCAGGAAAUCUAACAAAAAUAAAUACAGCAAAGGGUCCAGGUACGUUAUUAAUCUGGGAAAAUAAUCUUAUUUCUGAGCCAGAAAUCUUAUGUCUCAGCCUCACUGACUGAGCAUCUCUACACAACAAAGGCAAGUAGGAGCUCCUUUGGAAUUUUCAGCAGUGUGAUUUGAAAGAGUGCAUCACUAAUUUGUAGAACAAUUAAAUUGUUCAUUAGCAAUGCUCUGUCACAAAACCAUUUGCAGAGGGUACAAAAGUAGUUACAUUUCAGAGGAUUUGUAGUCUUUUAUAAAUUUCUACAGUGUAUAAUAAUGUGAGUACCUGUCAUUUCCUGACUGCUCUGUCUUGCAAAAUCAAGUUUAAUGUAGGUGCAGAGCAAUUAAAAAAAUCUUUACAUUAGAAAGAUUUAGAGGCAAGCAUGAUUUGUACAAUAUUUUGUAAUGAAGAAAAACUUGAAGCAGGGGUUGAUUGAAAAGUAAUUUUUAAUUUAAUAAGGUGUAUGGAGACAUUUGAGUAAUUAGGAGAACAGGUCACUGUAAUGCUACUCAUGUGGAAAGUUGAUACUUUUGAAUUUUCCUUAAUAAACCAAGAGAUCCAUGUUACUUCAAUGAAGACAAGGCUAUUUGUCUUUACACAAAGUCGUAAUUCUCUUGCUGUUAAUUUAUAGUGGAAUCACAAGUCAUUUAAUAACUGAAAAACAGUCUUGCCCUUUGUUUAAUCAAGAGCAGUUUGGUCAUUUGAAGCAAUGUAAAAAGUAUGUCUCAGAGAGAGGUGUGGGGGAUGCCUCAAGUGAAAUGAUAGAAGCCACAGGUGCCACUGCCUUAGGAUUCACUUCACCAUUACUGCCAAAUAAGGUUUCUCUAAUGAUAAAUCUGGAAGCAGAGGAGCAUCUGCUCCAGAUUUUACUACUGACCUCUAAUGAAAAAGCAAUUGAGCAUGACUUCUUUUUAUGAAGGCCUGAUUUCUUAAAUACUAAUAAUAAUCCCAGUUGAUUUGAGUAGCAGCAUUUUGUAAAAUCUUUUCUAUUACAAAUGACAAAAAUCCUGACGUUGAAAGCACCAUUUAUCUCCAUGGGGGCACUACCACUACAAUUCCCAAUGUAAAUGGUACUGUGUUCCAAGUGCUUUGUGAUCUAAUCCUGCUCAGUGGAUUAUGUGGCUGCCUGGAGGAGCCCUGUAAUCAGUUGGGAACACAAGUCCCGCUGGCUGCUAGGACUGGUGGCCUCAAUGAGUUACUGUCCUGAUAAUCUCCCUCCUCCUCCCCAGCCAAUUACUCAUACUACUGUCAUCAGGCAGAUCAGUACCUGCUUUGUUUUUCAAAAAUGUGAUCAUUUCUGCCUCCCUUGAUGGCAUUGCAGCGUUACAUAAAGGCAUUACAGCAAGAUUAAAAGGCCUUUGGAGCCUAUAAAAGAAAAAAGCUGAGCAGUUACUGAAUGGCUCUGAAAAAUAGAUAAAUUUUAUAAGUGUAAUUAUUGCCUAACAGCAACAGCAAACUAAACUACACGGGUUAACCUUUAGUUUGCAAUUCAAAUGUGAAUCACAGUCAUUUAAGCACUGCGGUAACUUGAGGUGAUUGAUAUGAAUCUUGAACCUUAAGGACAAUUACUUUGUGUAGAGAGGAAAUUAGGUGUUCAGAAGUGAAAUAUUGCAGUUCUGGUGGAACUUGGGGGAACAGAUAUUGCAAUAGAUACAUGCAGCAAAAACUAAGGCAGCUUACAGAGUCUUGAAUUGACAGUUGUUAGUUGAGCUAUUCUGGUGCACACUGAAAUCUAAAUUAUGUCUGAACUUGAGUGGAAAAUGGAUUACAAAGCUAGCUAUAAAUGACAGAAAUAGUAUAAUCAGAAAAGGUGAUAUCAGUGCCUCUGGUGCAGCCAAAGAGUAAGGUAUUUGUAUUCUGUUCUUUACUAAAAAGGACUUAUACAACUUGAAAUUUUAUUCUAGGAGGGAGAAAGCCAUUGCCUGAAAAAAAGUUAGGAACAACAUGCACCAGUUAUGCAAAUCUCAAUUGCACACAUAGGUAAGAGACCUGGUUCAGCAAUAACUUUACAGCACAUUCAGUUUUACAGAAUUCUUCUCUGUGGUGUGUUUAUAUUAGUAUCGAAAUAGAAUAUUUCAGAGAGAUGUGAAAUCAGAAAAAAUAAUAAAGGUAAUUAAUUUCAUUUGAGGAUACUUAACUCUGAGAGGGUAAUGUUUCUACAUGAAUAAAGAUGCAGUUUUAAAAAAUAUAUAUACACAGUUACCUCUAAUACUGUAUUCCUGAUCUAGGGGAAUGAACCAGCAAGCUUGUUACUGGCUAAAACCUGAAAUAACUCAGGUGUAUUACAGCCUGCAUGUGUUCCCUCCAAUCUAAAAACCUGUUCUUUAUCCUCUAUUAAUAUAUAUUUUCCUUUCUGUGUUAACCUAGACACAAGUAGUAGGGCUCAGUUCUGCAGCUCUUUCUUUCUACAUUCAAUUCCUACAUUUAGUGGAAGUUACACAGAAGCGAGGAGACAUUGGCUUUCAGAUUUUUUCUUUGGAAUGAUUUCUCCUGACAGUUUCAGAAGGUUAUUCUGCUAAUGUUUGAAAAGCAAGGCUUUUUAAAUUCAGUUAAUAAAACUUUAUUUUCUGGAGGUACAUUUUUCUUUUAAGUCACAGAAGUGUACAGGAGAAGCCAAAGCCACCUAUUCUAUCACUGCUAAACAGAAGAACUCUAAUAACUUAAUCCAGAUGUCCUAUUUAGCAGCCUUCCCUUCAGUAAUAGUCCAUAUGCUCUUCAAUUAACUCUUAGGUCUUUCUUUUAAUGAUGUACAGAAUGCUAUAUGCACAUACUAUGGGACAGAGAUUACCUUCAAGCCUGGAGCUACUUGCUAUUUAAAUGCAGUUUUACUGCUAUGAUACCCCUGGUAUUUUGGAAAGUUUCUUCUUAAAGUAAUCUGUCAUUUCUUUUAUGAUGACGUUUAAGGAAAAUUAUUUGAUUGAAUAUUUCACUGUCUGUUGAAAUUCACUACUGAUUUUUGCAGCAGAAUACCUUGAAGUUGGGAGAUUUUGGAUCUUGUAGGAGUAUCUGUUCUCAGCAGGCACAUAUGGGAUGUGCUUCCCCACGCUGGUACCGAGCACCUGAAUGUUUGCUUGCAAAUGGCCACUGUAGUUACAAAAUGGGUAUGUGGAGUGCUGGCUGUGAAAUCACAAGGUACAGUGUUCAGUGGAGGGCUUUUCUUAUUGUUAUUCAAGAUAAUCAAAGGUAAAUAACUCAAAUUAAGAGCACGUGGUAAUAUGAUCUUCGUUUCCAUGGAUUUGUGGAAGCUUCUUCUGUGCUUAAUCUGCAGGGUUCAGGAGGCAGUAAUCCAGUCUGGCCUGGCACUCUCUUCACUCUGUGGCAGUUUUCUUGGAUCUAAUGAGCUGGACCAAAUGUCAAAAAUCCAUGACAUUAUAGGCACUCCUGCUAAAACAACCCUCGGGAAGUUCAAGCAGUCAAGAAGUUUUAGUUUUGAUUUCCCCUUUAAAAAAUGGAAAAGUAAAACCUCCUCUUGUGCACAAAUUGACUGCCAAAGGUUUCUCUCUCCUGUAUGCAAUGAUAAAAUAUGACUCCGAUUAGAGAACUGCUGCCCAUCCAGCAUUACAGCACCCUUAUUUUCAGGAACUCUGGCAAGUGACUUCAAAUCUCUUCAGUCUUGAAAACUAAAAUCAAAACGUUGGGUGAGUGCUGUCCUUACUUCAGCUGGACUGAAAUGAAAUUUGCUUCCAGGGCGAGUUCUUGGCUUAGAAUACAAUUAAUGUAACUCAAGUCAACAUAAUUCUUUGCCUUUAGUCCAAACCUCACCUAAAGCACAACUGAUGUUUUUUUCUACUUCUCUUUUUCCCCCAGACUUUUUAGGGCACCUGAUACACAAGCUUUGACCAUGCACAAAAAAUUAAGAUUAGUAAGAAAUACAUAAAGGCAAGUACCUCAGUCUUUGUGCCAAAUUCCAAAGGCAAGUCCAAGACAGGUAGUAUUUUAAGUGGAAGAAUUGUCAGCCCAUUUAGAGAAAGUAAUUUGUAGCACUGAGCUUGUUAGCUAGAAACAAAUGUUUUACUUAAGCUGAUUACUUGGGUUUAUUCCGUCUGCCUAAACACAGAUCUUUAUUUGGUCUGAUGCCUUUCCCCCUCCCCCCAAAUCCCUGACAUACACGAGUUAGAAUUUAGAAGCUUUGAUACCCCAUAAUCCCUUCAUAGACUUUGUUGUCAGAGUUACCGGUACUUAAAGGGUCAGCUCCGCCUUUAUUUUUAAAUAUCACCAUCCUGGUUUUGCUGUCUGCCUUUGGCUUAAAGAGUUUUCAGAUGAAGUUGUGGCAGACACAGAAAGUUUGCUUUUGCCUUCUCAGGGCUUCAGUCUACAUUUUUGAGCAAAUAAAAAUAUAUCAUUUUUAAACUUAAUUAUCCUGUAUUUAGAUGAUAUCUGGGGAAAUCCUAAGCUUGUUUUUGACACAAAGUAAAAAAUUAAGAUCUGAUUAAAAAUUCUGGCAAACUAAAACUUUGUUUAUAUAUCAGCUAUGUGAAAAAAACUUAUUCAUUCUUAAAGGUUUGCUGUAUCAACAAGGUGAGAUGGAACUUAGUACUACAUCAAAAACUUUCAAAUACAGGUUUUUCUAGAAAAAACCCUUGCUAGAGUGGCAAAGAAAAACUAUAAAUUAUUUUCUGCUGUGCAUUCAACCUUGAAAGCAUGAACUCUCCUUCCAUAGGAGGCAGCCACUUUUUCCAUCAGUUUAGUUCUGGAGUUCAUCAAUGUAGGCUUUGUGAGGAGUUCCUUUAGGAAAGAUAGCAAGAAACAUCAAGUGAGGCAAGUAAUUUUUAUAAAAGAAUGAGCUGAAAUAGUAUUUGGCUGAGGUUUGGGUUUUUUUUCUCUGAUUAUUUGGAUUUUCUCUUUUAAUUUUAUUCCUAAAGAUGUUCUUAGAAAAAAUUGAACCUUGUUUAUUUAUUUAAAAGCAUUCUCUUAGGAAAGUCCAGAUAAAAAAACCAAAACAAAACAGAUCUCCUCUUGGAGAAUUACCAAAAUGAAAUUCUUCUGGAGUAGCCAAAUUGACUUCCUGUUCUACUCCUACACUGCAGUUUUCCGGGCACCUAAGGAAAGCAGUGGAACCCCUGUGUUCCAGUCUGUUAAAUUUAUUGGAUCAAACACUGAGGUGUCGACUCUCACUCGCCCAUUGAAGCGUAUUUCAAACUUCUGUUGCUUCCUCAACAGUCUGAGAAACAGAAGGCAUUUAAGUCUUCCCUGAAACAUUUCCACUCGCCUGCUUUAGAAGGAAGAGGAGUGAGGAAAAGCACGGCUGUGCAGUGAAGAGAGACCCAGGCGUGCUUCUGCUGUUAAAGAGCUAACAAGAACAGCAGUGCCUGCUUUUGUGUUACUCUGACAAUUUGUAGGAAACCCCCACAAGGUUUGAGGGCUGCUCUCCUAUCAUUUUGGUAUUCUGUUCCUGAAGUGGGUCAAUAUUUAAUUAAAGCAUUGUUCUGGCAGAGCACAGGGAGCAUUCCGCAUUUAACUUCCUAAGUAUUUGUUCCUUUUAGAACCUGGUGGAGGAGGAGGUUGGUUAAAAAUAACAUGAAAGGAUUCUUUGAGCUCGAGUAUUAGGAAUGGAAUGUUAUCUACAGAGCAUAAGUUUUCAGAUUACAUUACCAAUGUCAGCAAACUGCUGUAUUUUUUUCAGAUUUAAAUUUUAUUUCUUUUUUGGUCAGCUCUGGAAAUUAUUCUCCAUCUGUAUUCAGCAACUUCCACCUCAGGUUUUACUGAGAACGUGCAGAUUGUGCAAUCACAUGAGAUACUUGAUUUUGAUGCAGUUUCUGUAACUGUUGAAUAUUUUUAUGUAACUAUAAGCUAGCUAAAAGCUAAACCAACUUUUUCGAAAGCAAAACAAAAUUUAGUCAUAAUUUGCUUCAAGCCAUUGAUCUGAACUUAAAUCAAAAGUCUUAACAGGCACUGAUAUUGCAACCAGUUGCUUAAAAGCACAGUGAAGGCAUGUAGCUCAUCAUCCUUCAGAAAUUUUGCACACAGAUCAUCAGUAACAAUUUAACAGAAUGUUAGUUUCCUAUUGCUAUAAAAGGUAAGAGUUAAAAGGCAACAUCCUUAUCUUACUUGGAAAGAAUCGUUAUUCCAACUUGAUACCGUUGACUUUAAAACUCCUGAGAUCUAAAAAUUUGCGUUAAUUUGCUAUACUUAAGUUUGGUGAUGUGUUACAGAACAGUUUUGUUACGUAGAAAACAAGAGUCUGUGCAAGUCAUACUCAGCUGGGGGGUUAAAAAUCUUCUGCCUACCAAGUGUUUAUGCAGGACAGGUUUGGCAAAUAUCUUUUUUUUGAGGUUUAUAAGUUAUAGGAUCAGCACGCUUGUAGCAAGCGUGGGUAGAGCCCUUCUCAAAUCUUCGUUCGCGAAGCCUAGCCAUGAUAAGUUAUAGGAGUUACUCUGCUUGUAAUUGGGAAGUGAUCAGUGUUUUUUUUUCAUAACCAAACACUGGGGUUUGGUGCUGCUGUUCAAAAACCCAGUCAUGAGCAGGAGGCAAAGGGCGUGUUGUGAGAGAGGCACCAUGAAAAACUGGGGAGCACGUCAUGUCCAAGCCUUAGGCACCAAUUUGAGAUUACUGCUCUAAAUCCAAACUAUUUAUUUCUCAUCAGUUAAGAUGCCGCUGAAACAAUGCAGUAAAAUACAGGUUAACAUAAAGAUACAAGUCAUCUAGAAUAGAGGUUAUGCCCAUUAUGCUGUCAUUGCACUCCUUCUGAAACUGUAGGGCUGUGCAUUUGUGGGGAAAAAAAAUUCUUCUUACUCAAUUUGAGGUCUUUAAGUAGGUGGGGGUUUUGUUGUGGUUUGUUGGUUGGUUGUUUUUUUAAGAAGAAGCCUCUCAACACUUUUAAGGUUCUGUUGUGACUGGAUUAAUCCUAUUCCUUGUUCUAUCUUUCAGAUUCUGGACAACUUUGAGCAUGCCCAAAUUCUACACUGUAGCUUUUCAGUGUGGGGAAGCUCAUGAGACUCAAGUUCUUUGUGAGUCCUUUUGGCAUCUACUGCUUAAAAGCACUUGUCUAUCUUAUGUUUGUCUUCAUGUUUUGAAGAAGGUAUUAUUUUCACAUACUGUACUGAGGAUCAAUGUGACAUUUACUAGCAGAUUCUUUAAAAUGUGAAAAUAUUCACAGGGUAAAUGUGGUGCAUACUGUGGGAGUCAUUUUUUGGUAUUUAUUCAAAUUUGACUGUCCAAGUUGAAUAUUGGGCACCUGCAUCAUGUACCUUUGUUCAAUUUAUUCUGUUUGUUCAUAGCAAACUUUCAGAAUCUCAAGAACAAGAAUAUCCCACCCUAGCAAGAAUUCUUGUAAAAUAAGGCUACAGCACUUAAACAAGGCUCUGCAGGGAAACCUGCACUGCUGCCCCUCGUACCUGUACUGCAGAACACAAUGGUACAGGUAACUCAUGUGGAUGGACGCUGCUUUCCUCCAGUUCCGAGCAGAAAAUGUGCUCCUGACCAGGGUAUCUCCAAGUGCAGUGAGGGUACAUAAAACCACAGUGACUGGGUGAGUUUUCUUGCUCUGUUACGUGUUCCAAUUAAUCAUCUCUCUAUUUUGUCCUGCUUUCAUGUUAGCACCUUAUACUGACUUAUACUUCAACAAUAAGGUAAUCCUGUAUUUGUUUGAAUAACUACCAUAGGUUUAUAUAUACAUUAAAUAUAUUUUAUAUGUAUAUAUAAUAUUAGCAUCAGUAUAUAUACAUAUAUAUAUAUAAGAAAGGUGUGAUACUACACUUAAAAAAUGGAAUUAAGGACUGCAAGUCUAUAGGCAACACAGUGUAACAGCAGCCUCAGACUUCUUACCUUUGGAAUUCUGAGCAGAAGGUGCCAUGAGCUUAUCCAGUGUUUUUUCCAGAGAGGAAAAUGGUGAGUUGCUUAGUGCUAAUAUAUCUGAAGUUGAGCAUAGCGUGCAGGAGUAAAAAUGAUGGUCUAAAAAUAGGUAACUUACUGGAUCCAAGGGAACUUGCUCUCCACUGUUGUUAAUUCCUUAGAAAAAAUAGAGGACAAAUCUUACUACCCACAUUUGACGGAUUGUUCCCACUCAGAGCUCUCUUACCUAGGAGGAGGUCAAAGCUCAGAUUAGCUGAACUGUGUUCCUGAUAGAGAUGUAUUCAUUGUGUUGGUAGCUUCCUGUAAUCUUUUUCUAGAAGCCUCAAACCACAGAUGCUGAAGUUUAACUAUUUCAACUAAAAAAAAAAAAAAAAUCCCUCAAAUUGUGUUUGCACAGUUUGGUACCUUCCUGAUUUCAAGAAUGUUAUUGCCAGUUUCCUUCCAUAAUUAAUAUAUGGGGGAUAAUUAUUCAUAUGCCAGGAAAAAUACAAAGUCAGAAUUCUUGAUAAGUUUUAACCUGAAGAGAAGAGGCUACCACAAUAACAUCUUGUGUGUUAUCACACACCCUGUACCUGGGGCUGUCAGGCUGUUAUCGUGAAAAUGGCAAUUUCACAUUCAGCAGAUCAUUUUUGCUGUGAAAACUGCAAAUCUGAAAUAAGUCAAGGACCAUGUUGGAAUUUUUCUUCAUUUCUUUUACACUUUCAGGUGGAUCUUACACAGUGUGGCACAUACAGUGCUUCGAGCAUAUUUAUUUCAUCACAAGUUCUUUGCUGUUAAACCUCUGGAGACAAUUUACACUUCUCUGGCAGUUGGAUGAAUAGGCAAACUCAAGUUUUCCCACCUGCUUUAUAGCUAUAAUAAAUCCAACUUUAAACUGCAAAUUGGCAAGUAUUAUUCCUACCCUCAUUCUUUCAGCUGAAAUUCCAUAUUGAGAUUAUUUGUGUUCCACUCACUUUUAAUUUUUUUUUUUAAUGUAGUAGGAAAAAAGUUUAUUAAGAGCUGUAUCUACAGUAGAACUCUAAAGUUCUUUCCAGGUAAGUUAUUAGUAUCCUAUUUAUUCCUAUAAGUUUUUUUUUCCAUAUGGUAAAGAGUAUGGCACGAGCAGUUCAAACUUCUAGAUGAUUGCCCAAAUAGUAAAGAAGAGGCUGAAAAAAGAAAACCCACACAUUCCUUGUGUGCUGCUGAACUAGGAUUUGUGGCAGGGACAACAUGGAUACAAGGAGCUGCCAUUGUUACCCUGAUGUUGGAUACUGCAGUUCUUUCCAGACUGGUUUUGUAUUUUUUCAGCUGAAGGAAAAAAGUCUUUUAAAGUUACUGCAUAUUUUUUCAACCAUUUCAUUUUGACUCAGACUGUAUGAAGCACAUACAUAAAAGAAGUCUACAGAGAGAUAACUACACUGGUUUUCAGUGGCAAGGUUUAUCUGUAUUUUAACAGUUAAACCCAUUAUGUUAAUAAAACCAGACUUCUGAACAAUAAUCCUGCUCAGUUUCAGUAUUUUCCCCAUCCCUUAUAUUUUAGAAGAACACAAAUAGAUAAGCAUUAUAAAGUACAGCUCCAUCUUCAAUGAAGUAGGCAAUUAAUUCCCAGCUUAUAAAUGUAUCUGGCAGUUCCCUACAUGGCUGCAUAGCAAGAGUAAGACUUAGUUACAAGGAGCUACUGCAGUUGCUUUUCCCCAAAAUU